rnacentral:rRNA from 1 species
UACGGAGGGUGCAAACGUUGCUCGGAAUCAUUGGGCGUAAAGCGCCACGUAGGCGGCGCGUAAGUCGGGUGUGAAAGCCCUGGGCUCAACCCAGGAAGUGCAUUCGAAACUGGCGCGCUUGAAUAUGGAAGAGGGUCGCGGAAUUCCCGGUGUAGAGGUGAAAUUUCGUAGAUAUCGGGAGGAACACCAGUGGCGAAGGCGGCGACCUGGGCCA